GACGAACGCUGGCGGCGUGCUUAACACAUGCCAGUCGAACAGAAAGGCCCCCAUCUUGGUGGGGGUGCUCGAGUGGCGAACGGGUGAGUAACACGUGGGUGAUCUGCCCUGUACUUCGGGAUAAGCUUGGGAAACUGGGUCUAAUACCGGAUAGGACCAUGGUUUAGUGUCUCAUGGUGGAAAGAUUAUUGUUUUGGUGCAGGAUGAGCUCGCGGCCUAUCAGCUUGUUGGUGGGGUAAUGGCCUACCAAGGCGUCGACGGGUAGCCGGCCUGAGAGGGUGGACGGCCACAUUGGGACUGAGAUACGGCCCAGACUCCUACGGGAGGCAGCAGUGGGGAAUAUUGCACAAUGGGCGCAAGCCUGAUGCAGCGACGCCGCGUGGGGGAUGACGGCCUUCGGGUUGUAAACUCCUUUCGUUAGGGACGAAGCCGCACUUUUUUUGGGUGUGGUGACGGUACCUUUGUUAAGAAGCACCGGCUAACUACGUG
rnacentral:rRNA from 1 species